rnacentral:rRNA from 1 species
ACCUGGAAAUAGCUGGUUCUCUCCGAAAACUAUUUAGGUAGUGCCUCGUGUAUCACCUUCGGGGGUAGAGCACUGUCAUGGUUGUGGGGUCCAUUGCGGAUUACUACGCCAUAGCAAACUCCGAAUACCGAAGAGUGCAAUCACGGGAGACAGACAUCGGGUGCUAACGUCCGGUGUCAAGAGGGAAACAACCCAGACCGCCAGCUAAGGUCCCCAAAUAUGGCUAAGUGGGAAACGAAGUGGGAAGGCUAAAACAGUCAGGAGGUUGGCUUAGAAGCAGCCACCCUUUAAAGAAAGCGUAAUAGCUCACUGAUCGAGUCGUCCUGCGCGGAAGAUGUAACGGGGCUAAGCCAUAUACCGAAGCUGCGGAUGCACAGUAAUGUGCAUGGUAGGAGAGCGUUCCGUAAGCCUGCGAAGGUGCACUGGAAAGUGUGCUGGAGGUAUCGGAAGUGCGAAUGCUGACAUGAGUAGCGAUAAAGGGGGUGAAAGGCCCCCUCGCCGUAAGCCCAAGGUUUCCUACGCAACGUUCAUCGGCGUAGGGUGAGUCGGCCCCUAAGGCGAGGCAGAAAUGCGUAGCUGAUGGGAAGCAGAUUAAUAUUUCUGCACCAUUGUGAAAUGCGAUGGGGGGACGGAUCGCGGAAGGUUGUCCGGGUGUUGGAAGUCCCGGUCCUUGCAUUGGAGAAGGCGCUUUGGCAAAUCCGGGCGCGUAAUUCAAGGGUGCGAGGCGAGCCACUUCGGUGGCGAAGCAACUGGAAGGGGUUCCAGGAAAAGCCUCUAAGCUUCAGUUUCACAGUGACCGUACCGCAAACCGACACAGGUGGGCGAGAUGAGUAUUCUAAGGCGCUUGAGAGAACUCGGGAGAAGGAACUCGGCAAAUUGGUACCGUAACUUCGGGAUAAGGUACGCCCUGGUAGCCUGACUGGCCUGCGCCAGAAGGGUGAAGGGGUUGCAAUAAACUGGUGGCUGCGACUGUUUAAUAAAAACACAGCACUCUGCAAACACGAAAGUGGACGUAUAGGGUGUGACGCCUGCCCGGUGCCGGAAGAUUAAAUGAUGGGGUGCAAGCUCCUGAUUGAAGUCCCGGUAAACGGCGGCCGUAACUAUAACGGUCCUAAGGUAGCGAAAUUCCUUGUCGGGUAAGUUCCGACCUGCACGAAUGGCGUAACGAUGGCCACACUGUCUCCUCCCGAGACUCAGCGAAGUUGAAGUGUUUGUGAUGAUGCAAUCUCCCCGCGGCUAGACGGAAAGACCCCAUGAACCUUUACUGUAGCUUUGCAUUGGACUUUGAACCGGUCUGUGUAGGAUAGGUGGGAGGCUAUGAAGCGUGGACGCCAGUCUGCGUGGAGCCGUCCUUGAAAUACCACCCUGAUCUGUUUGAGGUUCUAACCUUGGCCCGUGAUCCGGGUCGGGGACCGUGCAUGGUAGGCAGUUUGACUGGGGCGGUCUCCUCCCAAAGUGUAACGGAGGAGUACGAAGGUACGCUAGGUACGGUCGGAAAUCGUGCUGAUAGUGCAAUGGCAUAAGCGUGCUUGACUGUGAGACUGACAAGUCGAACAGGUGCGAAAGCAGGUCAUAGUGAUCCGGUGGUUCUGUAUGGAAGGGCCAUCGCUCAACGGAUAAAAGGUACUCUGGGGAUAACAGGCUGAUACCGCCCAAGAGUUCAUAUCGACGGCGGUGUUUGGCACCUCGAUGUCGGCUCAUCUCAUCCUGGGGCUGUAGCCGGUCCCAAGGGUAUGGCUGUUCGCCAUUUAAAGAGGUACGUGAGCUGGGUUUAAAACGUCGUGAGACAGUUUGGUCCCUAUCUGCCGUGGGCGCUGGAUAUUUGAAGGGGGCUGCUCCUAGUACGAGAGGACCGGAGUGGACGAACCUCUGGUGUACCGGUUGUCACGCCAGUGGCAUCGCCGGGUAGCUAUGUUCGGAAGAGAUAACCGCUGAAAGCAUCUAAGCGGGAAACUCGCCUUAAGAUGAGAUAUCCCCGGGGCUUCGAGCCCCUUGAAGGGUCGUUCAAGACCAGGACGUUGAUAGGUCAGGUGUGCACGUACAGUAAUGUACUGAGCUAACUGAUACUAAUUGCCCGUAAGGCUUGAUCCU